GAAUUGACACAUAAAAACAUUGAAGUAUUGCUCACACAUACACAGGUUCCAGAUGAACACACACGAUUCAGACACGGACAGCAGCAAGGGAUCAUCAGAUGUCUGCAGCUAUGAGGGGAAUUGUUCUUCUCUUUCUACUUUCUCUCUGGGCUGGAGACCAGGUGGAUGCUCAGAUCAGUGUUGCAAAUUUAGCAAAACUGAUUACAGAGAUGAAAAAGUUCGGACUGCAAAAUCGUCAGUAUGCCAUGGCUGUCAGGCUCACCCAACAGCAGUGCCAGACCGGACAGUUUAAUGUCGGUGUUGAACC